UACGGAGGGGGCUAGCGUUGUUCGGAAUUACUGGGCGUAAAGCGCACGUAGGCGGCUUUGUAAGUUAGAGGUGAAAGCCCAGGGCUCAACCCUUGAAUUGCCUUUAAGACUGCAUCGCUUGAACAUCGGAGAGGUAAGUGGAAUUCCGAGUGUAGAGGUGAAAUUCGUAGAUAUUCGGAAGAACACCAGUGGCGAAGGCGACUUACUGGACGAUUGUUGACGCUGAGGUGCGAAAGCGUGGGGAGCAAACAGG
rnacentral:rRNA from 1 species